GAGUUUGAUCCUGGCUCAGGAUGAACGCUGGCGGCGUGCCUAACACAUGCAAGUCGAACGGAGUUACUUUGGUGAAGUUUUCGGAUGGAUCUGAUUUAACUUAGUGGCGGACGGGUGAGUAAUGCGUGAGCAACCUGCCCUUCAGAGGGGGACAACAGUUGGAAACGACUGCUAAUACCGCAUAAUGUAUUCGGAAGGCAUCUUCUGAAUACCAAAGGAGAAAUCCGCUGAGGGAUGGGCUCACGUCUGAUUAGUUAGUUGGUGAGGUAACGGCUCACCAAGACUGCGAUCAGUAGCCGGACUGAGAGGUUGAACGGCCACAUUGGGGCUGAGAUACGGCCCAGACUCCUACGGGAGGCAGCAGUGGGGAAUAUUGGGCAAUGGGCGAAAGCCUGACCCAGCAACGCCGCGUGGAGGAAGACGGUUUUCGGAUUGUAAACUCCUGUUCUUAGUGAAGAAUAAUGACGGUAGCUAAGGAGCAAGCCACGGCUAACUACGUGCCAGCAGCCGCGGUAAUAC
rnacentral:rRNA from 1 species